UACAGAGGUCCCGAGCGUUGUUCGGAUUCACUGGGCGUAAAGGGUGCGUAGGUGGUUGGGUAAGUCUGAUGUGAAAUCUCCGGGCUCAACCCGGAAAUGGCAUUGGAUACUAUUCGGCUAGAGGUUUGGAGGGGGGACUGGAAUUCGUCGGUGUAGCAGUGAAAUGCGUAGAUAUCGAGAGGAACACCAGUGGCGAAGGCGAGUCCCUGGACAACACCUGACACUGAGGCACGAAAGCCAGGGGAGCAAACAGG
rnacentral:rRNA from 1 species